UACGAAGGGGGCUAGCGUUGCUCGGAAUCACUGGGCGUAAAGGGUGCGUAGGCGGGUCUCUAAGUCAGGGGUGAAAUCCUGGAGCUCAACUCCAGAACUGCCUUUGAUACUGAAGAUCUUGAGUUCGGGAGAGGUGAGUGGAACUGCGAGUGUAGAGGUGAAAUUCGUAGAUAUUCGCAAGAACACCAGUGGCGAAGGCGGCUCACUGGCCCGAUACUGACGCUGAGGCACGAAAGCGUGGGGAGCAAACAGGG
rnacentral:rRNA from 1 species